rnacentral:rRNA from 1 species
GCUGGCGGCAGGCCUAACACAUGCAAGUCGAACGGAGUUAUAUUGUAGCUUGCUAUGGUAUAACUUAGUGGCAGACGGGUGAGUAAUGUAUAGGAAUCUACCUAGUAGUACGGAAUAAUUGUUGGAAACGGCAACUAAUACCGUAUACGCCCUACGGGGGAAAAAUUUAUUGCUAUUAGAUGAGCCUAUAUUAGAUUAGCUAGUUGGUGGAGUAAUAGCCUACCAAGGCAAUGAUCUAUAGCUGAUCUGAGAGGAUGAUCAGCCACACUGGAACUGAGAUACGGUCCAGACUCCUACGGGAGGCAGCAGUGGGGAAUAUUGGACAAUGGGCGAAAGCCUGAUCCAGCCAUGCCGCAUGAGUGAAGAAGGCCUUUGGGUUGUAAAGCUCUUUUAGUGAGGAAGAUAAUGACGGUACUCACAGAAGAAGUCCUGGCUAACUCCGUGCCAGCAGCCGCGGUAAUACGGAGAGGGCUAGCGUUAUUCGGAAUUAUUGGGCGUAAAGGGCGCGUAGGCGGAUUAGUAAGUUAAAAGUGAAAUCCCAAGGCUCAACCUUGGAAUUGCUUUUAAAACUGCUAAUCUAGAGAUUGAAAGAGGAUAGAGGAAUUCCUAGUGUAGAGGUGAAAUUCGUAAAUAUUAGGAGGAACACCAGUGGCGAAGGCGUCUAUCUGGUUCAAAUCUGACGCUGAAGCGCGAAGGCGUGGGGAGCAAACAGGAUUAGAUACCCUGGUAGUUCCCGCUGUAAACAAUGAAUGUUUAAUAUGGGAAGUUUUACUUUCU